ensembl:lncRNA
AUUUCCAGAGAGUUGUUCUAAUAAGCAUAUUUCACCAUGAAAGUGCUAUGUGGCCUUUGACAAUUUUUUAGCAUCUCUGUGCCUUCAAAAAAUGGAGAUGAUUGUUUUAACCAUCUACCAGCAGAUGGAGGCCGAAAUUGAAUUGCUGCUGACUGUUGUCCCUUGUUAUGGCCUGUGGAGAUAUGACAAUUGAGGAAGAACUUAGAGAAAUGCCAAGUAGUAGAGCAUGAAGGAGUGGGUGUGACCCACUGCCUUGGAUAUUUUAUGGCUGAUAGCAUUUGGCAAGAAAAAAUCUGCAGCCUCUAUAGUAGUCUUGCAAAUAGAUUUCAACAUCAACCAUGCGCCCACCCUCAUCCCUGUUUGAUUUGCCCUGUAAAGUAUAUAUUUGCCAAAAUCUGCCCUUCUAAUUUUCAGUUACCUCACUGGACCCCUUGUAAACACCUAAAUAUUGAAAUAAAUAACACUUG